AUCGCUUCUCGGCCUUUUGGCUAAGAUCAAGUGUAGUAUCAGAAACCAAACAAACCCCAAACAAGAUGAAAUCCAUAACGAAAAACACAGUACUAAAACUGUCAUUUACCAAAGAUAAAAGGAUGCAUAAGAAAAGCAGUCAGAAAUUUUUGUAAAAAUUUUUGAGCUCACUGGGGAUUUAGCUCAGUGGUUUGACCGCCU
ensembl:snRNA U2 U2 spliceosomal RNA